CUCCGGGCUCUGGGUUGAAGUAGCGGCCCCGGGGCGCUCAGACCCGCCGUGUCCCCCAGGCGCUGAGCUGCCCCUUGCGAGCGCUUUGUUGUCCCCGCCUAGCGCACAAUGAACUCUCUGCUCCUGCCCCUGCUCCUCCUGGCUCUGGCCCCGGGUGUCCUGUCCCAGCUCCGGCUCCAGGAGUCCGGCCCGGGGGUGGUGAAGCCCGGAGAGACCCUCACACUCACCUGCACUGUCACCGGGGGCACCGUCACCAGCAGCUACGGGUGGAACUGGAUACGCCAGGCUCCGGGCCAAGGGCUGGAGUGGAUGGGAUACUGGAGCGGGAGCACAAGCUACAACCCGUCUCUCCAAGGCCGAAUCACCAUCACCGUGGAUUCUUCCAACACCAAGUAUUAUCUGCGGCUGGGCUCGCUGACAGCUGCAGACACCGGCACCUAUUACUGCGCCAGAGGCUACACAGUGACCCGGAGCAAAGCAGGGACCCGUACAAAAAGGGGAAGCGGAUUCAAAGCAGAGCAGAGAGGCCGGUUCAGCAGGGAGUGCUGAGUGCAGACCCGUCCCCUGCACACACACGGACCCUGGCAGGUUUCAGUCCCUCCGGCAGGGAGCAGCAGGAACACACCCACCCACCUACACACAGAAGAUAUGUGAAUGUGAGACCCCUGCUUAGAAAUCCCUAUUCCCCAGGACAUAAAAUCACACAACCCUAGGACUGGAAGGGACCUGGAGAGGUCAUCUAGUCCAGACAUCAGCACUCAUGGCAGAACUAAGUAUUAUCUAGACCAUCCCUGACAGGUAUUUUUUUAACCUGCUCUUAAAAACCUCCAAUGAUGGAGACUCGACAACCUCCCUGGGCAGUUUAUUCCAGUGCCCAACCACCCUGACAGCUGGGAAGUUUUUUCCUAAUGUCCAACCUAUACCGCCCUUCGCGCACCAGAAAACAAGACAAGAUUUCUCUCAGAUGUUGCUGAAUUAUCUCAUUCUUAAUCUAAUGAGAUGAUGUCUUUACAAUAUAUUGAAAUAACUGUGUAACUAUUGACAGAGAGUGAGAAAAAAGAUGAAAGAAAAUGUAGUGUAAUACAAAUAGAGGAAAAUCUGUGUGUGUGUUUCCCGUUUUCCCGAUCACAUUGGCUGACGUUCUCCCAGCAGAAUUUUUAGCCACACACACUGCAGCUCCUCUUCCAGUGGGUAAAUCGGCACCAAAGAGUCGAGACUUCUGUGUUGUCAUCAAAUCUCUCACACAUUUACGUAGAGAGCAGGAGCUGUAACCCCACUCGCUGCUUCUCCCCUAUGCAUACAGCCCCCCCCCCCCCCCGCCAGCCCCUUUCAUCUCCCAUCCCCGCUGCGUGACACCCGCAUACAAAUCCCUGCCCCGGGGUUCCUGUUUAAAUACAAACCCCUGGUUCUAGGAGCCUCAGUCUCUCCCCAGACACAGAACUGCCCGGUCCUGCCCGCUGGGGAGUUUCCCUCACUGCAUGAAACCGAGAAUGAAAUCUCUGUUGCUUUUCCUUUCCCUGUUCUCUGCCCACAGCUGUGAAUGUCUCUGGGAGAGGAGGGACAUUAGGGACCGAUCAUUAGAUUCGUUCUGUGAUUCAUUCAUUCCUCUCUUUGUUUCCCUUUCCCCAGGUGUCCUCUCCCCGGUGCAGCUGGUCCAGUCCGGCCCGUGCGCGGUGAAGCCGGGAGCGACCCUCAGUGUCACCUGUAGAGUCUCUGAUGUCUCCGUCAGCAGCUACUAUUGGAGCUGGGUCCGGCAGCCCCGUGGGAAAGGGCUGGAGUGGAUGGGGCGCAUCCGGGAUACUGCUAACGGGGGACCACAGACAACUCGGCUCUCACACCUCGUGUCACCAUCACCAGGGACACUUCGAAAGACGAAAUUUGUCUCCAGCUCCGCUCGCUGACAGCUGCAGACACCGGGACCUAUUACUGUGCCCGACACACGGUGACAGGGAGCCGAGCCGGGCCUGGCAGAAAAAGGGGAAGCGGAUUUCUAAAUAGUCAGCCGACCUGAACACUCAAUUCAUGCUCUAGUCUAGGGGGUGAGACAGGCAGGGCAUUGCCGACAGUGGGGUCUCAGCUACCACCUCCGUUACUCGCCUACAUCCCAGGCCCUGACACCGAGGAGUUUUAGACACUCCUCUUCCUCCUGUUUCGCACUGAAAUGUACACCCAGGGAUUCACCGAGGCGGGGGUGAUGGUUUGGGCUACCUCGUAUUUUGGGCAUUUCACUGAUACCAUUUCGGGACCGAUCUCCAGAAGAUACUCAGCACCUGCACCUCUCCUGGGCCUCAGCUGGAGCCUCGGGCGGGUGUCACCCCUGGGAAGCAGACCCUCUGUGUCUCAGGCUGGUCCCCAAAUAUCGAGACUCCCAAAUUCAGAAACCACUUCAGGACAUGUUGCCCCAAAGGAGUACAUUUCACCCUCACUCAGCACACACUGAGCUCUACCUGAAAUCAAGGGGAGCUGCAGGUGCCAAAUACCUCCGAAAAUCAGCCCCGAACGAAAAUGUGUCUGAGAAAAAAGAUGCUUGAAGGUAAAGGAGCCGGACUCGGUUUUCAAAAGACUUCGGGUUCCAUUCUUGUGUCCGCCAGAGACUUGUUACAGCGUCCUUGAGUAAGUCAUCUGAUCUGUCUCAACUGCUACACAAAUAGGGACUUGUCGUUACAGUGUGUACGGCAACACCCAUUGCUUCGUGUUCUCUAUGUAUAUAAAUCUCCCCACUGUAUUUUCCACUGAAUGCAUCUGAUGAAGUGAGCUGUAGCUCAAGAAAGCUUAUGCUCAAAUAAAUUUGUUAGU